rnacentral:rRNA from 1 species
GGUAGUCCACGCUGUAAACGGUGGGUACUAGGUGUGGGGAGUACUGACCCUCUCUGUGCCGAAGCUAACGCGUUAAGUACCCCGCCUGGGGACUACGGCCGCAAGGCUAAAACUCAAAGGAAUUGACGGGUCUCCGCACAAGCAGCGGAGCGUGUGGUUCAAUUCGAAGAUACACGAAGAACCUUACCUGGGCUUGACAUGUAGGUAGUAGUGAAGCGAAAGCGGAACGAUCCUUCGGGAAGCCUGCACAGGUGCUGCAUGGCUGUCGUCAGCUCGUGCCGUGAGGUGUUGGGUUAAGUCCUGUAACGAGCGCAACCCCUACUGUCAGUUACAAGUGUCUGGCGGAACUGCCGGUGACAAACCGGAGGAAGGUGGGGAUGACGUCAAGUCAGCAUGGCCUUUAUGUCCAGGGCUACACACACGCUACAAUGGCCGGUACAAUGGGUUGCCAAACCGCGAGGUGGAGCUAAUCCUGAAAGCCGGUCUCAGUUCGGAUUGCAGGCUGCAACCCGCCUGCAUGAAGUUGGAGUUGCUAGUAAACGCGCGUCAGCUAUAGUGCGUUGAAUACGUUCCCGGAGAUUGUACACACCGCCCGUCACGUCAUGGGAGUCGGUAACACCUGAAGUCGGUGGGCUAACCGCAAGGAGGCAGCUGUCGAAGGUGGGGCCGGCGACUGGGACGAAGUCGUAACAAGGUAACCGUA